rnacentral:rRNA from 1 species
GACGAGCGCUGGCGGCGUGCUUAACACAUGCAAGUCGAACGGGCCCGCCCCUGUUUUUGGGGGUGGGUUGAGUGGCGAACGGGUGAGUAUCACGUGAGUAACCUGCCCCCUGCUCCUGGAUAACUGCUUGAAAGGGCGGCUAAUACGGGGUGUGCCGGCUGGUCCGCAUGGGCCUGGUCGGGAUAGUUUCAUCUUCGGGUGUUUCGGUGGGGGAUGGGCUCGCGGCCUAUCAGCUUGUUGGUGGGGUGAUGGCCCACCAAGGCGGUGACGGGUAGCCGGCCUGAGAGGGUGGGCGGCCACACUGGGACUGAGACACGGCCCAGACUCCUGCGGGAGGCAGCAGUGGGGGGUAUUGCACAAUGGGCGGAAGCCUGAUGCAGCGACGUCGCGUGAGGGAUGGAGGCCUUCGGGUUGUGAACCUCUUUCUCCGGUGGUGAAGGCCCUGUCCGUUGCGGCGGGGUUGACGGUAGCCGGGUAUGAAGCGCCGGCUAACUACGU